GGAUUAGAUACCCUGGUAGUCCACGCUGUAAACGAUGAGAACUAGCCGUUGGAUUCUUUACUGAAUUUAGUGGCGCAGCUAACGCGCUAAGUUCUCCGCCUGGGGAGUACGGCCGCAAGGUUAAAACUCAAAUGAAUUGACGGGGGCCCGCACAAGCGGUGGAGCAUGUGGUUUAAUUCGAAGCAACGCGAAGAACCUUACCUGGCCUUGACAUCCUGCGGAUUGGGUAGAGAUACCUGAGUGCCUUCGGGAACGCAGAGACAGGUGCUGCAUGGCUGUCGUCAGCUCGUGUUG
rnacentral:rRNA from 1 species